rnacentral:rRNA from 1 species
CCUGAGAAACCCAAAAGAUCGAAUGGGGAGAUUCAUCGUCAGCGAUACUGGUACGUGUGCGGUUCGCGAUGACGGGAGGCUUCGGUCUCUCGGCACGCGUCCGCAUGUUUUAUUGCCUGGUGUCGUCGGCGUGCACUUCUCCCCUAGUAGGACGUCGCGACCCGUUGGGUGUCGGUCUACGGCCCGGGUGGGUGCCUGUCUCGUGCGGCGCUUUACGGCGUCGCUGCGGGGCAGACCCCCGGCUGCCUGACCGGCUGCCCGGCGGUACUCGCAAGGUAUCUGGCCGCAAAUAUUCGAACUGCGUCCGGCCCGUCGCAAGCGAGGCGAGUGUUUCCCGAAUGUACGGAUCUAAUGCCGUCAUCGGGCCUCGCCAGCUGUUGGUUGACGGUGUCCUAGGACUGGCUAUAACAAUUAUGAUACCGGUCAGCGACGCUACUGCUUUGGGUACUUUCAGGA